rnacentral:rRNA from 1 species
CCUACGGGAGGCAGCAGUAGGGAAUUUUUCACAAUGGGCGAAAGCCUGAUGGAGCAAUGCCGCGUGAAUGAUGAAGGUCUUAUAGACUGUAAAAUUCUUUUAUUUGGGAAGAAAAACUAAAGAAGGAAAUGACUUUAGUCUGACUGUACCAUUUGAAUAAGUAUCGGCUAACUAUGUGCCAGCAGCCGCGGUAAUACAUAGGAUGCAAGCGUUAUCCGGAUUUACGGGGGGUAAAACGAGCGCAGGCGGGUUAACAGGUGUGGUAUGAAGGGCAUUUGCUUAACGAAAGUAUGUAACUAAAACUAUGAUUCUAGAGUGUAGUAGAGAGUUGUGGAAUUCCAGGUGGAGCGGUGGAAUGCGUAGAUAUAUGGAAGAACACCAGUGGCGAAGGCGAGAACUUAGGCUAUCACUGACGCUUAGGCGCGAAAGUGUGGGGAGCAAAUAGGAUUAGAUACCCGUGUAGUC